AUUAAAGCACCUUCGGGUGUGUAUAAAGUGGCGAACGGCUGAGUAACACGUGGGCAACCUGCCUUUACUUUGGGAUAGCCUCGGGAAACCGAGGAUAAUACCGAAUACUUUGUAUGUAUCGCAUGGUAUAUACAAGAAAGCUUUUGCGGUAAAAGAUGGGCCCGCGGCCUGUUAGCUUGUUGGUGAGGUAACGGCUCACCAAGGCAAUGAUGGGUAGCCGGGUUGAGAGACCGACCGGCCAGAUUGGGACUGAGACACGGCCCAGACUCCUACGGGAGGCAGCAGUGGGGAAUCUUGCGCAAUGGGGGAAACCCUGACGCAGCGACGCCGCGUGCGGGAUGAAGGCCUUCGGGUUGUAAACCGCUUUCAGCAGGGACGAGGCCUUAUGGUGACGGUACCUGCAGAAGAAGCUCCGGCUAAAUACGUGCCAGCAGCCGCGGUAAUACGUAUGGAGCAAGCGUUAUCCGGAUUCAUUGGGCGUAAAGCGCUCGUAGGCGGUCUGUUAGGUCGGCAAGUUAAAUCCGGGGGCUCAACCCCCGUCCGCUUCCGAUACCGGCAGACUUGAGUUUGGUAGGGGAAGGUGGAAUUCCUAGUGUAGCGGUGGAAUGCGCAGAUAUUAGGAAGAACAC
rnacentral:rRNA from 1 species